UGCAGUCGAGCGGAGAUGAGGUGCUUGCACCUUAUCUUAGCGGCGGACGGGUGAGUAAUGCUUAGGAAUCUGCCUAUUAGUGGGGGACAACAUUCCGAAAGGAAUGCUAAUACCGCAUACGCCCUACGGGGGAAAGCAGGGGAUCUUCGGACCUUGCGCUAAUAGAUGAGCCUAAGUCGGAUUAGCUAGUUGGUGGGGUAAAGGCCUACCAAGGCGACGAUCUGUAGCGGGUCUGAGAGGAUGAUCCGCCACACUGGGACUGAGACACGGCCCAGACUCCUACGGGAGGCAGCAGUGGGGAAUAUUGGACAAUGGGCGGAAGCCUGAUCCAGCCAUGCCGCGUGUGUGAAGAAGGCCUUUUGGUUGUAAAGCACUUUAAGCGAGGAGGAGGCUACUUAGAUUAAUACUCUAGGAUAGUGGACGUUACUCGCAGAAUAAGCACCGGCUAACUCUGUGCCAGCAGCCGCGGUAAUACAGAGGGUGCGAGCGUUAAUCGGAUUUACUGGGCGUAAAGCGUGCGUAGGCGGCUGAUUAAGUCGGAUGUGAAAUCCCUGAGCUUAACUUAGGAAUUGCAUUCGAUACUGGUCAGCUAGAGUAUGGGAGAGGAUGGUAGAAUUCCAGGUGUAGCGGUGAAAUGCGUAGAGAUCUGGAGGAAUACCGAUGGCGAAGCAGCCAUCUGGCCUAAUACUGACGCUGAGGUACGAAAGCAUGGGGAGCAAACAGGAUUAGAUACCCUGGUAGUCCAUGCCGUAACGAUGU
rnacentral:rRNA from 1 species